rnacentral:rRNA from 1 species
GACGAACGCUGGCGGCGUGCUUAACACAUGCAAGUCGAACGGUGAAGGGGAGCUUGCUCCCCGGAUCAGUGGCGAACGGGUGAGUAACACGUGGGCAACCUGCCCCAGACUUCGGGAUAACGCUUCGAAAGAGGUGCUAAUACCGGAUACGAACUCCUUGGGCAUCCUUGGGGUUGGAAAGUUUUUCGGUCUGGGAUGGGCCCGCGGCCUAUCAGCUUGUUGGUGAGGUAACGGCUCACCAAGGCGACGACGGGUAGCCGGCCUGAGAGGGCGACCGGCCACACUGGGACUGAGACACGGCCCAGACUCCUACGGGAGGCAGCAGUGGGGAAUAUUGCGCAAUGGGCGAAAGCCUGACGCAGCAACGCCGCGUGAGGGAUGACGGCCUUCGGGUUGUAAACCUCUUUCAGCAGGGAAGAAGCGAAAGUGACGGUACCUGCAGAAGAAGCACCGGCUAACUACGUGCCAGCAGCCGCGGUAA